AUCAGAAAAUGGGUUCAGACUCUCAUUACCAGAUUCCAGCCAUAGAAUUCUCAACCUGUUCAGCUAAAUUGGACCGCGGAACUGAAAAGUGGUUCGGUUUGUGCAAGAGGGUUAGAUAGGCUCGUGAAAACUAUGGUUUUUUUGAAGUAGUAUAUGAUAAAAUACCUGUGGAGUUUAGAGCAGAAGUCCUCUCUGUGACGAGGCAAUUUUAUGGCCUUCCACUUGAGACAGAGAAAAAAAAUGUCAAUCCAAAGUCUCACCAUGGUUAAUAUGGACAGUUCCCCAGGCUCCUUAAUUUGUACGAGAGCUUUGCCAUUGAAGAUGCCUCCAACUAUGAAUCCCUUACGAGCUUCACACAACAAAUGUGGCUUGAUGGUCAUGAUCAGUUCUGUAACACUAUGAUUGGCAUGGUGAACAAGCUGGAUGAGCUGAAGGAAAUGAUUGACUUGAUGAUUCGUGAUAGCUAUGGUUUGGGAGAGAAUCCAGAUUCUAUCAUGCCAAGCAAGACGAAGAUACAAGUACAGAAAUACAGAUCCGGCUCCUCUAAAGCAUGGAGUAAUGGAAGAAUGCAGCAAAGCAUCGAGUCAUGAUGUGUGGAGAAAAAGAACGAUAUUCGUUUGGAGCAUUUGGAAUUCCAAU